GCAGCGACGCCGCGUGGGGGAUGACGGCCUUCGGGUUGUAAACUCCUUUCGCUAGGGACGAAGCGUAUUUGUGACGGUACCUGGAGAAGAAGCACCGGCUAACUACGUGCCAGCAGCCGCGGUAAUACGUAGGGUGCGAGCGUUGUCCGGAAUUACUGGGCGUAAAGAGCUCGUAGGUGGUUUGUCGCGUCGUUUGUGUAAGCCCGCAGCUUAACUGCGGGACUGCAGGCGAUACGGGCAUAACUUGAGUGCUGUAGGGGAGACUGGAAUUCCUGGUGUAGCGGUGGAAUGCGCAGAUAUCAGGAGGAACACCGAUGGCGAAGGCAGGUCUCUGGGCAGUAACUGACGCUGAGGAGCGAAAGCAUGGGUAGCGAACAGGAUUAGAUACCCUGGUAGUCCAUGCCGUAAACGGUGGGCGCUAGGUGUGAGUCCCUUCCACGGGGUUCGUGCCGUAGCUAACGCAUUAAGCGCCCCGCCUGGGGAGUACGGCCGCAAGGCUAAAACUCAAAGGAAUUGACGGGGGCCCGCACAAGCGGCGGAGCAUGUGGAUUAAUUCGAUGCAACGCGAAGAACCUUACCUGGGCUUGACAUACACCAGAUCGCCGUAGAGAUACGGUUUCCCUUUGUGGUUGGUGUACAGGUGGUGCAUGGUUGUCGUCAGCUCGUGUCGUGAGAUGUUGGGUUAAGUCCCGCAACGAGCGCAACCCUUGUCUUAUGUUGC
rnacentral:rRNA from 1 species